ACUGCUCAGUAACACGUGGAUAACCUGCCCAAGGGUCUGGGAUAACCCCGGGAAACUGGGGAUAAUACCGGAUGGAUCACUAGUGCUGGAAUGCUUGGUGGUCGAAAGGUAACGCCUUUGGAUGGGUCUGCGGCGGAUUAGGUUGACGCCGGUGUAACGUACCGGCGUGCCUGUAAUCCGUACGGGUUGUGGGAGCAAGAGCCCGGAGAUGGAUUCUGAGACACGAAUCCAGGCCCUACGGGGCGCAGCAGGCGCGAAAACUCUACAAUGCAGGCAACUGCGAUAGGGGGACAUCGAGUGGCAUCCACCUUGGGUGCCUGUCCAACCGUCUAAAAAACGGUUGUUAGCAAGGGCCGGGUAAGACCGGUGCCAGCCGCCGCGGUAAUACCGGCGGCUCGAGUGGUGGCCGAUAUUAUUGAGUCUAAAGGGUCCGUAGCCGGCUUUGCAAGUCCCCUGGGAAAUCCAGCGGCUUAACCGUUGGGCUUUCAUGGGAUACUACAUUGCUUGGGACUGGGAGAGGUAGGAGGUACUCGGGGGGUAGGGGUGAAAUCCUGUAAUCCUCCGGGGACCACCGGUGGCGAAGGCGUCCUACCAGAACAGGUCCGACGGUGAGGGACGAAAGCUAGGGGCACGAACCGGAUUAGAUACCCGGGUAGUCCUAGCCGUAAACGAUGCCCGCUAGGUGUCACGACGGUCGUGAAUCGUCGUGGUGCCGUAGGGAAGCCGCGAAGCGGGCCACUUGGGAAGUACGGCCGCAAGGCUGAAACUUAAAGGAAUUGGCGGGGGAG
rnacentral:rRNA from 1 species